UAAAAGUCUUCGGUAUGGCUACUUUUUCUCUCUCCCUAAGAAACAGAUGCAUUCAAAGUGCUUUUUCACAGAAUUUGGUGGUACCUUAAAGAGUAUCCAAUAUAUCCCAUCACUAAAUUCAUCACUGUAUUAAGCUUCUUAUAUGCUAAGGGAUCCAAUAAAACUGUAGCU